CAUGCCCCUUAUGCUUAGGGCUACACACGUGCUACAAUGGGUAGUACAGAGGGUUGCCAAGCCGUAAGGUGGAGCUAAUCCCUUAAAGCUACUCUCAGUUCGGAUUGUAGGCUGAAACUCGCCUACAUGAAGCUGGAGUUACUAGUAAUCGCAGAUCAGAAUGCUGCGGUGAAUGCGUUCCCGGGUCUUGUACACACCGCCCGUCACACCACGGGAGUUGGAGACGCCCGAAGCCGAUUAUCUAACCUUUUGGAAGAAGUCGUCGAAGGUGGAAUCAAUAACUGGGGUGAAGUCGUAACAAGGUAGCCGUAUCGGAAGGUGCGGCUGGAUCACCUCCUUUCUAAGGAGA
rnacentral:rRNA from 1 species